GACUACCGGGGUAUCUAAGCCUGUUCGCUCCCCAUACUUUCGAGCCUCAGCGUCAGUUACAGACCAGACAGCCGCCUUCGCCACUGGUGUUCUUCCAUAUAUCUACGCAUUUCACCGCUACACAUGGAGUUCCACUGUCCUCUUCUGCACUCAAGUUUCCCAGUUUCUAAUGCACUUCUUCGGUUAAGCCGAAGGCUUUCACAUCAGACUUAAAAAACCGCCUGCGCUCGCUUUACGCCCAAUAAAUCCGGACAACGCUUGCCACCUACGUAUUACCGCGGCUGCUGGCACGUAGUUAGCCGUGGCUUUCUGGUUGGAUACCGUCAAAGGACUAACAGUUACUCUAGUCCCUGUUCUUCUCCAACAACAGAGUUUUACGAUCCUAAAACCUUCUUCACUCACGCGGCGUUGCUCCAUCAGACUUUCGUCCAUUGUGGAAGAUUCCCUACUGCAGCCCCCCGUAGG
rnacentral:rRNA from 1 species